rnacentral:rRNA from 1 species
AAUAAUUUACUUAUGUAUUAUUUUAUUUUAUUAUUAUAGUGAUUUAAUUAAUUAUAAGAUAUUUCUGAAUAGGUUUAAUUAAAUAUUGAAAAUUAAAAAUUUCUGUACCUUUUGUAUCAGGGAUAGUUAAUUUAAAUAAUUUAUUUUUUAUUUCGAAGUAAAAAUACUUAUAUUUAAAUUAUUUUUUAUGUUUUAUAAUAAUUUAUAAUUUUAAUAUAGUAACUAAAAGUUAUUCGUUUUUUAUUUAUAUCUAAUUAUUUUAGAAAGAAAUUUAAUUUUAAUUUAAUUUUUAAAUUUAAUCUAUAAGGGAUAAUCUUUAUGUAUUUAUGUAAACUUUUUGUUUUUAUUUUUAUUAUUAUUUAAAUUUUAAAUUAAGUUUCUAAUAAAUUAUAAUUUUUAAAAUUUCAUUUCAUUGGUUUCCUAUUUUUAUAAAAUUACUAUAUAAAAUGUAUUUAUAUAAUUAAUAAUGAUUGUAUAAGUAGUUUUUUAUAUUUAUAAAUAUGAAUUAGACAAAUUUAAUUCUCAAAUGUUUAUCAAAAACAUUUUUUUUAGAAAAAUUAAAAGUAUAUUCUGCCCUAUGAUUAAAAUUAAAUGGCUGCAGUAAUUUGACUGUGCAAAGGUAGCAUAAUAAUUAGUCUUUUAAUUGGAGACUUGAAUGAAUGAAUGAAUGAGGAAUUUAUUUUAUUUUUGUAAUUAAAUUAAAUUUAUUUAUURGUAAAAAAGCUCAUUUAAUUUAUUUAGACGAGAAGACCCUAUAGAACUUUAAUUGUAAUUUUAAAAUAAAAUUGAUUAAAAUUAAUUUUAAUUUUUUAUUUUUUGCUGGGGAAGCAGUUAAAUUUAAAUUUUUUCUUUUCAUAUCAUUAAUUUAUGCUUUUUUUAUUUAUUAUUUAUAACUAUAAGUUUAAGUUACCUUAGGGAUAACAGCGUAAUUUUUAUGGGGAGUUCAUAUCUAUAUAAAAGUUUGCGACCUCGAUGUUGAAUUAAAGUAACGGUGGGGGGUAGAUUUUUCAUUUUUAAGUCUGUUCGACUUUUAAAUUUUUACAUGAUUUGAGUUCAAACCGGUGUAAGCCAGGUUGGUUUCUAUCUUAUAGAUAAAUAAAUAUUUUAGUACGAAAGGACCAAUUAUUUUAUAAUUUAUAUUAAAAUUUUGAAUUUAAUU